UUGGCUUCAAUGACAUGUGUAUGCAAAUUUAGACAAUACAGAGAAAGAUAGCACGAACCCUGUACAAGGAUGAAACGCAAUGUUUGUGAAGCAUUCUCUAUUUUU